CCUGUCGGUCUGUGGCUUUUGGCCUAUCCAUGGGGACUCCAAAAGCUAGCAGCAGGUGCUUCCUUGUGGAAUUUAGCUUAUGCUUUAUUGAUGACUUAGUGGAAGGGUUGUCUGCGUCAAUUGCUACUACAAGCUCGCAGAUAGAGAUGGAUACCGAUCUCUCAUCAGAGCCAAACCACAUAGAGUAUUUAAAAAGAUGAAGUCGGUGUUUUCCAUCGGCUUGAGGGGCAGAAAGAUAUCUCAUUCCACUUAAUCUGCAGGUAUAUAGAGCGACAAGGAGAUAGAGAGGGUGUCAACGCUGGACCUAGAUCCACCAGGCUCUUCCACUUCCAACAUGGGUGUCUCAGACCGCCACUAGAGGGUUACCUCGACAAUGCAUGUGCAUGGCAGCACCCUACCGUGGAUGUUCCCAGGCUAUCAAGGAGCACAACCAACUCAUAAGCCUCUCCAUUAUAAAUCCCUGGGGAACUACAAAACACAUGUGGAGUUCUUUCCUAGGCAACUACGCUGCUGAUACUGCACUAUUUUUAGAAUCUUUAUGUUUGUCCAGCCUUAGGAGUUGUUUCCCAGUAAAUCAAAUAGUAGGGCUCCAUGCAGCUGUGAGGAUAAUACAGUAGCAUAACCAAGGUAAUCUUCUUUUACAAAUUGUGUUUUUAUUUAAGACAAGUAGCAUGUUUUUUCCUAUCAUUUUGUAUGAUCCUCAUUUGUGCUGAGCUUCCAUAGUUCACGGUAUAAAUACAUGGCCUCAAAACAACGCUUCAGUAUGACAGUGCCAAAUGUAGUAAGUCCCUAGACUCCAUUGGUAAGUAUCUAUCUCAGAACCUAAACAUGGAAGGCUGCAUUUUUAUGUUGUAAUUUUUGGUUCAUACAAACGAUUAGAAGGAGAAAAUGCUUGCAUGGUUCCUAUGCACAUUUACUGUUGGAACUUAGGUACACCAAGUUACAACUUAUUUUCCCACCCCUAACGAAUAUCUGACGCAUUUCCACUCAUGCUGCCGAGAACCUUCAUAUUCCUCUUCGCGGGUUAACUUUGUGUACAAGUAUAAGUACAACCUGUGACGCUGGACAGUCCUUGCCACAGUUUAAUUUCAGGUGCACAUGAACUAAGCUCUUGCAGAGAUCAUGGUGCCAUUUCAUUUUCUAAUAUUUGAAGUUUUAGUUCUUCUACAUGAAAUAAUAUAGUGAAGAAGUCCAAUAAAAAAUGUACUUGCUAUUAAAAGUAAU